rnacentral:ncRNA from 17 species
AGAAUAAGUGUUGUACCUAGCAACCUAACACAUAAAUUUGCUUUCCGAGUGGCCCCAAGAAUUGGGGCUUUUUUUAUGCU